rnacentral:lncRNA from 1 species
AUGAGCGGGAGACAGGACUUUCAGCAACUGCACCCCCGCCUGCGCCUCCGCCCCCCCCCCGCCUCCCCCGCCCCUCCUGGAGCCCUUCCCUCGCUUCCGCCCUCCCCUCUGCCUCACGGGCUCGCCAAUAACUGCCUGACAGGAGACUGGGAGGAACAAGUUUCCCUCCGUGUGCUUUUCCCGUCCUUCUGUCCGUCUCUCCCGGAGGCCCUGAAGGAUCCCCGCGGGGAGGGGGCGUUGGGAGCCUGCGCCCGGGGCGCGCGCGUGUGCGCGUGUGUGUGUGUGUGCGCGUGUGUGUGCGCGGGGCGGGGGGGGGCGUCGAGGUCCGCGCCAGCCGCCGGGUCGGGCGAGCCUCCCGCCGCCCGCCUGCUCGCUCCGGGCCCCGCGGGGAGAGCCGCAGCUCGCCGGGGGUGUCUCUCCGGGAUCCCGCCCCGGAGGCGGCCGCUGCUUCUCGCGACUCCCAGCCCUGCCGGCCGCGGCGAGGAGCGGGGUCGGCCCGGGCCAGAGAGCGGCAGGCGCCCCCGACGCUCGGGGCAGGGCCGGGGAGACCCGGGGGAGCCGGGCUGGAGCGGGAGGCGCCGCGCGGGGCCGGCCAAGGGCCGACGCUGUCGCUGUCGCUGUCGCUGUCGCUGCCGCGUCGAGCCCACCGGGCCACUCGCUCCGGCGCCGGCGCCGCUGGGCUGCGGCCGCGCUCGGCCCCCCGGCUCCUCUGCUGGGCGCGCGGCCGGCCGCCAGUCGUGCUCGGGUGCCCGGCGCCCUGCGGGGGCCCCAUUGUUAACCCAGAUGAGGCGCCCGCCCCUCUGGGACGGAGGAGCGCCCGAGGGCCGUGGGGUGCGCCCUCCCGCUGGGGGGCGGCCGUCGCCCCGCCCCGCCCAGCCUCGUUCUCCACCGAGCCCAGGUGCUGGGGGAGGGGGGCUUGCGAUCAGGGGUCCGGGCGCCCCUCUGCGGUGCUCCUCGGGGCGGGGGCACAGUGCGAGGCAGAGGCCCUCGGCAGGGCUCACUCGGCGCGCGCCCCGGGCCAGGCGGCCGUCACGCCGGGCACCCGGCGCCUACCCCCACCCCCCGCCCGCGCGGCCGCACCGUGGGCCGCGGGACCCCAGCCCCCCCGCCCAGGGCUUUCCGGGAACCGCUGCGGGAGGCCUCCGUGGAUAG